rnacentral:rRNA from 1 species
CGGACGGGUGAGUAACGCGUGGAUAACCUGCCGUAUACCGGGGGAUAACACUUAGAAAUAGGUGAUAAUACCGCAUGAGCGCACAGCUCCGCAUGGAGCGGUGUGAAAAACUCCGGUGGUAUACGAUGGAUCCGCGUCUGAUUAGCCAGUUGGCGGGGUAACGGCCCACCAAAGCGACGAUCAGUAGCCGGCCUGAGAGGGUGAACGGCCACAUUGGGACUGAGACACGGCCCAGACUCCUACGGAAGGCAGCAG